rnacentral:rRNA from 1 species
UACGGAGGGUGCAAGCGUUAAUCGGAAUUACUGGGCGUAAAGCGUGCGCAGGCGGUUUGUUAAGUCCGUUGUGAAAGCCCCGAGCUCAACUUGGGAAUUGCAGUGGAUACUGGCAGGCUGGAGUACGGUAGAGGAAGGUGGAAUUCCCGGUGUAGCAGUGAAAUGCGUAGAUAUCGGGAGGAAUACCAGUGGCGAAGGCGGCCUUCUGGACCAGUACUGACGCUCAUGCACGAAAGCGUGGGGAGCAAACAGG